GAGCCCCGCAGGCCCGGCCCG
rnacentral:miRNA from 1 species